rnacentral:rRNA from 1 species
UACAGAGGGUGCAAGCGUUGUUCGGAAUUAUUGGGCGUAAAGGGCGCGUAGGCGGUGCGGUAAGUCACCUGUGAAAUCUCCUGGCUCAACUGGGAGCUUGCAGGCGAAACUGCCGUGCUGGAGUGUGGGAGAGGUGCGUGGAAUUCCUGGUGUAGCGGUGAAAUGCGUAGAUAUCGGGAGGAACACCUGUGGCGAAAGCGGCUCACUGGACCAUUACUGACGCUGAUGCUCGAAAGCUAGGGGAGCAAACAGG